AAUGCAUUAAAUAACAAUGCUGGGUGAUUUAUUUUCCCAUGGACAUGCUGUCCUAAGCAUUCCUCUUCUCUCACAAUGUUUCCAAUUAACUUGUCAUGGACUUGUAUCCAAGCAACUGCUGUACGAUUCAACUGCAUCUGAAAUUGGUCAUUGUUGAAGGUGACAACUUGUAAAUGUGUGAGGUUUGUGUGAUCAAAGUAUGAGUAGAGAUGAGAGAGUUGUCUGAUA